AGCGAACGCUGGCGGCAGGCCUAACACAUGCAAGUCGGACGAAGUCUUCGGACUUAGUGGCGGACGGGUGAGUAACACGUGGGAACGUGCCUUUAGGUUCGGAAUAACUCAGGGAAACUUGUGCUAAUACCGAAUGUGCCCUUCGGGGGAAAGAUUUCUCGCCUUUAGAUCGGCCCGAGUCUGGUUACCUAGUUGGUGAGGUAAAGGCUCACCAAGGCGACGAUCAGUAGCUGGUACGAGAGGAUGAUCCGCCACAUUGGGACUGAGACACGGCCCAAACUCCUACGGGAGGCAGCAGUGUGGAAUCUUGCGCAAUGGGCGAAAGCCUGACGCAGCCAUGCCGCGUGAAUGAUGAAGGUCUUAGGAUUGCAAAAUUCUUUCACCGGGGACGAUAAUGACGGUACGCGGAGAAGAAGCCCCGGCUAACUUCGUGCCAGCCGCCGCGGUAAGAC
rnacentral:rRNA from 1 species